AGUGAACGCUGGCGGUAGACCUAACACAUGCAAGUCGAACGGCAGCACAGUAAGAGCUUGCUCUUACGGGUGGCGAGUGGCGGACGGGUGAGGAAUACAUCGGAAUCUACUUUUUCGUGGGGGAUAACGUAGGGAAACUUACGCUAAUACCGCAUACGACCUACGGGUGAAAGCAGGGGGUCUUCGGACCUUGCGCGAUUGAAUGAGCCGAUGUCGGAUUAGCUAGUUGGCGGGGUAAAGGCCCACCAAGGCGACGAUCCGUAGCUGGUCUGAGAGGAUGAUCAGCCACACUGGAACUGAGACACGGUCCAGACUCCUACGGGAGGCAGCAGUGGGGAAUAUUGGACAAUGGGCGCAAGCCUGAUCCAGCCAUACCGCGUGGGUGAAGAAGGCCUUCGGGUUGUAAAGCCCUUUUGUUGGGAAAGAAAAGCAGCAGGUUAAUACCCCGCUGUUCUGACGGUACCCAAAGAAUAAGCACCGGCUAACUUCGUG
rnacentral:rRNA from 1 species